rnacentral:lncRNA from 1 species
GAACUCUAGAUUCCACAUUGACCUCUCUUACUGGGUUUUUGUGAUACUUCUUCCUCUAACCCUACUUAUAUAACUAUUACUUAGUCAAUAUGUGCAGAACUCAUUCUCUUACCCCCAACACACCUGUUUACCCAACUUCCCAACUACUAUCAAAGGUAAAACUAUUCUUUAAAGUUCAGUGUCAUCUUUGAAUCCAAAUUAGCAUUCAUUCCACCUACCCUGUCUGUUAAGAAUUUUUAUGAUAUAUACCUUAAUAAUGAUUCUUAUUUGUAUAAACCUACAAAUAUUACAAUUAUGCAUAUUAAAUAUGUCUAUUUACAUAUUAUUCACUGUGCAUAUCUAUUAGAUAUUAUGCAUAUAUAUAAUUUUAUAGGUAUAUAUAUAAUUGCCAAUUAAGGGAAUCUAGAUUUUCUAAUAGGCUUUUUUUUUUAUCUUUCAGACUCCAUCUUUCCAGUUGUACUAGAGAUGAAAACUUGGUGAAUUAUAGUGGGGGGAAAUGUAUCGAUGUUGCACCAGGAAGUAAGCAAAAGAAAGAGACUGAAUCUUGAGCCCCUCUCCUACACUACUUCCUGUUUCUUCCUUACCAACUGUCUGGAUGAAGGUUUUUCUCACAGAUGGUAAGGGGUUUAUUGGGAAACAACAGGAUGGGAAACUGAGGAAUUACAGCAUAAACUGCGUGAACUCCAUGAAUCCGGAACUGCAGUACAAGCCGGACCACUAGACUUUUCACUUCAUGACCUGAACCCAGGAGAAAAGGUGUACAUUAAGAAUUUCCAGUGUCCUGGAGUAACUCAGCCUUCCUGGAAAGGACUAUUCCAAAUAUUGUUAACUACUCCAACAUCUAUAAAGGUUGGAGAGAAGGACUCUUGGUUUCAUUGCUCACAGAUAUUUUUCUUCAUUCUUUGUAUGAUAUGUGAGAGAAAAGAAGAAUGA